GGGAUCAUUACACAAAUAUGAAGGCGGGCUGGAACCUCUCGGGGUUACAGCCUUGCUGAAUUAUUCACCCUUGUCUUUUGCGUACUUCUUGUUUCCUUGGUGGGUUCGCCCACCACUAGGACAAACAUAAACCUUUUGUAAUUGCAAUCAGCGUCAGUAACAAAUUAAUAAUUACAACUUUCAACAACGGAUCUCUUGUUUCUGGCAUCGAUGAAGAACGCAGCGAAAUGCGAUAAGUAGUGUGAAUUGCAGAAUUCAGUGAAUCAUCGAAUCUUUGAACGCACAUUGCGCCCUAUGGUAUUCCAAAGGGCAUGCCUGUUCGAGCGUCAUUUGUACCCUCAAGCUUUGCUUGGUGUUGGGCGUCUUGUCUCUAGCUUUGCUGGAGACUCGCCUUAAAGUAAUUGGCAGCCGGCCUACUGGUUUCGGAGCGCAGCACAAGUCGCACUCUCUAUCAGCAAAGGUCUAGCAUCCACUAAGCCUUUUUUUCAACUUUUGACCUCGGAUCAGGUAGGGAUACCCGCUGAACUUAAGCAUAUCAAUAAGCGGAGGA
rnacentral:sRNA from 1 species